rnacentral:lncRNA from 12 species
UUUGGAAUAAGAGAGAUGGCUUCUAUUUCGGUGAUAAUUACAGGAUAUUAAAUUAAAUUCCUUACCUUCAUUCUGCCACAUAUUACAUAAUUUAUACAUUAUAAAAUUAAUCCUAAUGGUUCAGUGCUUUGAUGUGUCUUUUCAUUUGUUUCAGAGCCAUUUGCAGUACAGUGUAACUUUUCCCAGUACUGCGCUAAUGAAUGUAAGAAAGAAAACAUUUUUAGACAAAGCCUAUUUUAUUCUCAGACAACUUCAUUUAGAUUCAAAGUGGUAAUUCCAGGGGAUGUGUAAUAAUAUCGCACUUCUUACGUCACAGCAUCAUACUACUGGAUGCUUGUGGAGGUGAAUGGCUCUAAUAUGACAGAGGGAGAGAUUCAGAUUUGGUUUUUAGAUCUUUUUAAUAAAAGCACCUGUUCUGCUGGAGUUUCAACAACAGGAAUCAAUACAACAUCGUGCCAAACUCACAUAGUCUUUGUGACUGCUGAGGUUAGAUGUGAAGCCAAGCAGAACAUCCAAAAAACAAACUGCACUGUGCUGCUACAGCUGAGCCAACCUGUUAAUAUGUGCAUCCUCCGAAGGCUGGUGCAAAACGGGACUGUAAACCCAUCAAUCCAGAUCCAGCUUCUGGGAGAUGUAGAAAGAGUGGGUAAAGGCUUGUGCCCAGAGGACAAUAAGUCGCCCCCUGGAGAUGGUUUAGUGCACUGCACAUCUCUAAUGUCUUAUGAUGAUUUCUGCAAGACCCAAGGGCCUGUCAGUGUCACAUGGUAGGAUAUGCUACAAAUUAAAGACUUGCCACACUCUUUAAUUAGUCCUGCGGCAAACAAUUUUGGCAUUUUUAGUGUUUACAAUAUUUAUGUGAGAUUGUAUUACUCAUUUCCCAAUGUCCGCUCUUUCUUGCAUUAGUUCUUAUAAGGAAAAUGGCUUUGUUCCUAAAGACUUGAUUGCUAAUCAAUCCUGCAACGGUGAGUGUUAUUACUCUUUGGAUUUACUUUCGUCCUCAUUUUCUGACUAAUACCAGUAUCAUAUUCAAAAAUGAAAUUUUGUUUUUUUAGUUGAGAACCAACAACAUUGUGAGUGUCAUGUGUCUACCAACAACGGUGAGUGGAACAUAAUUGUUCUAUGUAAGAGUAGGUAGAAGCAUGUGUCAUGGACCAAUCAGACACCAAGCUCUCUCUCCUACCUCUCUUUUAGAGACAUAUUAUGCUGUUCGUCUAAAUAUUAGAAGCCCAGAUGUGAAUUUCUCCUACAUUCAGAACAUGGUGAGUUUUUAGAGAAACGGUUCUUGCAAACAGGUAAAAUGCCUUUAGUAAGUCUUUUACCGAAACAUUGCUAUAUAAAGAUUGGC